ensembl:lncRNA
CAAGCGUGACGGGUGCUGGGGAGGGUUAUGCUUGGUGAGUUUGACCACAGUGUGCACGGAACUUCUAGAGAAUGAUUCACUCUGGGGCCCAGAGUAACCUUUCCAGACUUGGGACCCCUGCCCCCAUCCUGUCCCUCAUGAGGUGUGACAGGCAGUUGCUCUCGCCCCCUUGGACCUCUGCUUAAAGGCAGCAGCGGUCCCCAGUGGAAUCUCCCGCUUGCAUAAGGAUUUCUUACUCUGAACAAGGAUGAGGCACUUGGGUAGAUGGGAUGGAGGUUGUACCCCUAUGUUGACCUGGCUUCUAUCCCCUAGGUCCCAAUGCUGUGCCUGGCCCUCAGCUGGACACUUCUACGGGUAUGUUACUGAAAUGGAUCCCAUUAUUCUCUUUUUAGAGAUGAAAAAACUGAGGUUCAGAGAAGUCAAGUCUCUUGCCCAAGGUUACACAGCAUGCCGAGAACAGAGCCUGGUCUGUCUGCCUCCACUCACAUCCAGUGCUCUCCCCAGAGCCCACUCUAGCCUCCCAGCUGCUGGAAGGAAGGCAGCCAACGUGUGGGGCUCAGCACUCUCUUAGCUGCCAUCUGCCGGGAGACGAGCAUUCAGCUGUUCGCUUCGCUGGUGCUAUUUCAUUAGUUCACACUAUUUCCACCUGCUGUGGUUGGGAACAGGAUACAGGGCUCCUCACGUCCAGGGCCCUGGCAGGCCGCGUGGAUUCUGCACGGUCUAAUGAUAGUUCUGAGGCCAGACCUGUGAGAUGACGUGUAUUCACUCGAAGGAAUCUCGGCCCCAUUCCGGAGAGCCGGAUCUUGGGCCUGUGGCCUGGUUUCCCCUCCCGCCCCUCACCUGUAUUUAAGCAUAAUUUCACCACUGAGAGAGGCCAAGGGGUAGAGGGUCCUAAGGGUGGUCAGGGCACGUAGGUGGACAGCCCUGGGUCCCCACUCUGGCUCUGCCAGUUACCCACUGUGUGACCUUGAGCCAGUCGCUUCACCUCUCUGGGCUUCAGUUUCUCCAUUGGUGAGAUGGAACUGAAGAGGAAGCUGUGGUGAAGAGUUAGUGAGAUCAUGUCUGCGGAAGGGCUGUGGAGGAUACGAAAUCCUACACAAAUGAUAGUCAGGCUGGUUAUCAUUGCAAGGGAUUCACCCUUGCUCCCGGCCUGCCACGGAAUGAGAGGACCCCAGAGGGGCUUUAAGGAUAGACACGUGGAGAACCAGGCAGUGCCAAUCCCUGACCACCCCUGGCUUUCCCAGCAAGGUCUCCAAGACCAGGACUCAGUGUCCUUGCUGGGGAGUCAGGAGCUACAGAUAGGAGAGAGAAGGGAAGGAGUGGAGAAGGUGGGAGGGGAAGGGGCUGAGAGUGGUCUCAGACCCAGUGUGGCCCUUGAUGGGGCUGGGACUCAGGAAGGUGAACUGAGGUGAGGCUGGAAGAGCGAGGUGUUGGUGGCCCCUGGCCGCCUGGGUUGUGUCUUUCUCUUGAAAACCCCAUCUCGUCUUGUGGUGCUCAGAGGAGACCAGCGGAGAGUUUGGUCCCUGUGUGGGGUGGAGUUAUAAAGCGGGGCAGGGCACCCCAAGAUCACGGCCGUGGAAAUCAGAAGACCUGGUAGAAAUCGGUAACGGGCAGCCUCUGGGGUUCUCCCUCCUUGGGUUGGCUGGGGGAUGUGCAUGGAGAAGCAGAGAGAGGUCGGUCUGCAGAAUCUCUAAGAACACUCUUGGCUCCCGGAUGCCUGCUGACAUCAGGGGAGCAGGCGACACCAGGUUUGGGCUCAGCUCAGAUGCACACGGCGACCCUGGGUUAUCAAGGCAACAGCCUCCUCACGUUAUCAUCUCUCCCUCGGUCCACUUCUACCUCAGUCCCUCUGUGCUCCCAUCACCAUAACAACCCACAUCCCAUAACAAAGAGUUAGAGUGAUCGUUGAGAAAGAUGUGUGUAUAUGUGUGCGUGUCUGUGUGUGGUGUAUGUGUGUGUGUGUGUGUGCAUGUGUGCCCGCAGGGGCAGCUGAUAACUUUCCAUGUAUUUUUCAGGAUUCCCAGCCAGUGCCUGGUACUUCCUCCCAGGUGGGCAAGGAGCUCUAACAAUCCACAUGUGUCCUCUCCGGCACCCAGCAUCUUUGCAUCAAAAUCAGAGGAAAUCAGGACACAGACACACAGAGGGAGACCGUGUGAAGACACGGGGCGAAGACGGCCGUCUGCAAGCCCAGGAGAGAGGACCCCGAUGGAAUCCACCCUGAGACACCUUGAUCGCAGACUCCCAGCCUCCAGAACCGUGAGAGAAUCAAUGUCUGUCGUCUGAGCCCCCCAGCAUGGUCCUUUGUUGAGGCUGGCCCAGCAAACGGCCACACCAAUGACAGAAAGAGGCUGCUGGAGGGGGCGCGAGAAGGUAAAGGUCUCCCUUCCCAGGAUCAUGACACAGACGCUGGACCACGUUCUCAUGAAAACUCUCCAAGUCCUUUGAAAUGGUUACUUUUCCUUUUGUUUAAAAAAUUUUAUUAAAAAAGUGACAUAUGGGGGCUGGCCCCGUGGCCGAGUGGUUAAGUUCGCGCGCUCUGCUGCAGGCAGCCCAGUGUUUCGUUGGUUCGAAUCCUGGGCGCGGACAUGGCACUGCUCAUCAGACCACGCUGAGGCAGCGUCCCACAUGCCACAACUAGAAGAACCCACAACGAAGAAUAUACAAAGGCUGAAUCAGUUUGAAAACACAACGGUUCCCAUCUGCUGCAGGACUGUAGACUAACCCACAGAUCAUGCUGGAGGCCAGGACUGAGGUUUGAAGAAGGACGACGACUGAGAAUCGGGAAAUAAACACAUGGGCACCGAGGCAGCGAAGGACCGGCUGGCACUGCAGGACGGCCGUCCUCCUGCUCCCCCUCCUUUCCCCCUCCUCCCCCUCCUUUCCCCCCUCACUCUCCUUCUCUCAAUCUCCCUCUUCCUCCCUCUCCUCUCUCUCUCUCUCUCUCUCUCUUUCUUAACUGGCUUGCUCCUUUCCUUUCUGUCUCCUCAGCCAGCCUUCCCCCUACCCCCGAUCCCCGACUUUCAGUCAUGAGUCCUUGUCUUAUAGAUCUAUAAGAUUGGGGGGCCCUUAGCAAUCAACUGAUCAAUUCAACUGUCCCCUUGUUUUAGGCUUUUCCUUGUAUUGCCUUUUUUUUUUAUUGCAAUAGAAAAAUGCAUAACAAAAUCUACCAUUUUAAAGUGUACAGCUCAGGAGUGUUAAGUAUGUUUACACUGUUACGUCAACCAUCUCAUUUUACAGAUGGGAAGCCUGAGGCUCAGAGAGGACAUAAGCCACAGGACGGAACCAGCAGAGCAAGAACUCACCCUGGGCCUGUGGAUGGCCUCCUGGGUCCUGAGGAGGCAGGACACACCUAAGGGCAGAGCAGGGUGGGGAGGGAGAGGCCCCGCAUGAGCAGAAGAGGCUGGGUCGUAUUCAGACCGUGGUCUGAGCUCUGAUCCGUCCUCCUCCUCAGCUGGAAAAGGUCUAAAAUAUCAAGUGAAACCUUGAAAACGUGAUGCUAAGUGAAGAAGCCACAUACAAAAGGUCACACGGUGUAAAUUCCAUUUGUGUGAAAUUCCCAGAACAGGUAAACCCACAGGGACGGAAUGGGGCUGGUGGUUGCCAGGGGUGGCGGAGGGGGCAGUGGGGAUAAUGGUCAAUGGAUGCAGACCUUUAUUAUGGGGUGAUGACACUGUUUCAGAACUAGAUAGAGGUGGUGGUCGCAUAACACGGUGAAGGCAUGGAAUGAAUUGUUCACUUUCAAAAAUGGUUAACUUUCUGUCAGGUGAAUGUCACCUCAGUUGAAAACGUGUUUUUCCACCAGAUUCUUAGUGUGUCCUAUAGAUGACAAAAUAUCAAAUGACGGUCGUUUUUACUGACAGAGUUGUGUGCGUCAUGUCACACUCCAAGGAGACCUGGCCUUUGGUUGCCCUGAGGACUUCAGAGACCGCUGUGACAGUGGCUUGUAUGUGGCUGCAGGUGACAGCAUGCUCCCUUCUCUGGAUGUUUUCUUGCCUUCUCCCCUCUGCAGGCCCUUGACACCGGCCGCUCAUCCCUCAGGGCUUAGCUCAGGCAUCACCUCUUUCGAGAAGCCCUCCUUGAUUCCUUCCCCCCCGGUUACAUGCACUUGCAUGCUCCCUGUGUUUGCUGUGACCAUUCCUGUGAGCAGUGACCCAUGCACCUGUCUGCACCCCACCCUGUCCAUGUACCCCUGAGGUCAGGGACCCUGUGGAGGCAGAGUGGGGAGGAAACUACGUUGUAGAUCUUGGUGCCACAUUGGCCUGGGUUCAAAACCUGGCUCAGCCAACUUAUUAGCUCUGCGACCUUGGGACAAGUUGCUUAGCCUUCAGGAACAUCAGUUUCAGGUGUAGAGAAUGAAGAUAAUGUUUUCCUUAUGGGGCUGCGCCAAGGAGCCUUGGUUGUAUAAUCUCAUUGCCUGCGAGAUGCUUAGCUCCGCCUCCUCCUCGUUGUUAGGAUUAUUAGAUUGCUGCCUGUUUUUCCGUAGUUUCAGCCCUUUCUGAAUAUUUUCAAACCAUCUUGCUGACCAUUUGGACAACAAACUGGGCAGAAUGCCUCACCGAUGGGGCAGCCUGGUGUCCAGAGGGAGGGUGGCAGUGGCACGGGAGGGGCGAGCUGGGGGAGCUGAGGCAGCGAGGAGGUGAGUGGGGGGUGAGUGUUUGGGGACAGCGACGCGUGCUGUUGUGUGUGGACAGGAGAGGAUAUUUAGGCUGACUCCUACCUCUAGCCGUGUGAUGCGGCCCGAGACUCGCCCUCUCUGAGCCUCCACUUGCGCUUCUGUAAGUUGAGACUCUGGAGACUAUUUCCCUGGAGUGUUGCGAGGGUGAAAUGAAGGCCCUGGUGGGCUGACCUGAUGCAGAGAGGGGGGUCACAGGAAGCUCUCAAUCACUGUGGAUACGCGGAGCACCCCACCGCGACUUCUUGCUUGUGUAACGUACGUGCUCUAUGGGAGAAUAAUGUCACGCAACAGAAAUAGAAAUAUACCAGCUGGGUCCUGAGCAGAUUCUUCAGUAAGUGAGCUUUCAAGGACUCCAAAUUCCUACCCAGGUUCUUAAAAUGAUUUGCAGACAAGCAGGAAGUUCCAUUCCUGUUGGCAUGGCUGGUGCCUGGUCUUGUAGGCGGAGGGGAGCUUGCAAGGGGCAGGCGAGGCCAGACGCAGGAAGUGGUGCCCGCCCUUGGAUUCAGUCGGACCACAGGUGUGGGCCACGACCCCUCGGCUUUUGGAGGGUGAGAGGGAGGGGUGAGGAGCGUGACCAGGAUCAUUCUCAGGGGCCAGGUGAUAGUUGAGUCCCCUGGUUGUGCAACCUUGGAACAAGGUGGGGGACAUGGGGUUCCCCUCUCCGGGCUGAGGAGGCCAGAGCAAGCAGCUCCCUGAAGAAUCCAAAUUCUAGGGUGGGAGUGAAAUUAAAGUGUUACAUGCACAAGCGAUAAAGAAAUGUCACCAGGAUGAGCCCAAAAUCGUGAGCUGAUCCCUCACUUCCCUCCUCUCACUUCCCUCGGGCCUCACCGUGAUGGAAGGAAACACACUGCAAAUUCGAGACCAGCUCGGAACUCCCGGAAAUGCUCCAGCCGCUGGAGCUCGGCUUCUCCUUCUGUCGAAUGGGCACAAUCCGCCCACUUCAGCAGCUUCCUGUCUGAGAUGCUAGGGGAGGUCCCUGGCACGGGGCCCGCUUCACAGGCAUCCAGUCCCUGCUGUUCCUCAUGCUUCUUUCUUACACGCGGCGCAAUCACUCACCUCUCCAGGCCUCAGUUUCCUUAUCUGGAAAAUGGGGGAGGCAUGUUGUCCACCUUCCCACUGAGGGAAGCCUGUGAGCUAGAAGACAGUAGGGGGACGCCUCUGUCCCCGCUGAGCCCUGGAAGUGCUGAGUAGGGGCUGGGGGGGAUGGAGAUGUCCGAGGAGCUGACCCUGCCCUGGAGACUUGUUGCCCCUCCCUCGGCCACCCUCCUGGUUGGUCUGCUCCCCGUUCUCCGUGGCUCUCAAGCUCUGAGAAAAUAGGAGACCCAAGCUCGGCUCAAAUCGCACCUGUCACCUCUGAGGCUCCCUCAGGGGUCCACGGGCUGACCGUCCUCCCUGGGUUGAAGAAACGUGUCAUCUUGGUUCUUCUCUGGGUCAACGUUCUCUGCAUUAGACAAGACAGAUCCUGGAGCCUUUCUCCUCAUGAUGGGAAAUCAGUCAGUCCGUCUCCAGCAGGUAUUCACCGAACAAAACACCUAGGACAAUGUUUCUGCUCCAGGUGUGUACGAACUGGCUACAGUACCCAUACUGUAUACGGUGUUUGGAACAGUGGGGGGUACAUGAAACUUUGUAGAUGUGUGUAAAUAUGUGUAUACCUCCAAGAGUUUCUUCACCAGGUCCCUAUGGCGUACAGUUCAGGCCACUGCCGUGUCUUUCUUGGAGCGUAACAGUAAAUGUUCAUAUAGACACAUACACAUAUAAGAGUUGGAAAUGCAAAGGCAUCAGAGAGGUUAAGUAUCUUGCCCAAAGUCACACAGCAGGUAAGUGGCAGAGCUGGGAUCUGAACCCCGACAGUCCGGCUCCGCUCACCAGCAACAGCCUCUGAUUUGCCCUUCUGCCUGCAGAAUCAGCCCCUCCAACCACCUUCCACACACUGAAUCGACCAUCCCCUGCUUAAAGGGGCGGCCUCUCGCCUGUGGGAUGGCAGUGAAACCCCUUGGGCAGGUUCCGCUGCCCUUCCCUGCCUUGUUUUUAGAAGUGGCCCCUUUGCAACAUACAUUUGAGAUCAAUGUCUCUCAGUCUUUUUUCGUAUAAAGCCUCCUUUAUAAUAUCAAAAUAAUUCCUGAGUCGAGCAUGACAAUAAUUCUAUUUUUAGUAGCUACUGAUUGAAAAAAAAUCUACCAAGAAAAAGCUACCAUGAAUUCAGCAAUACUUUUAAAUAAAUUUGAUAAGUUGUUCUAUGUGAUAAAUUAUUUUUUCAGUUUAUAAACCAGGCUGGAUUCAGAGGUAAAUUCUCAGACUUCUAUAAUAAAUCCUUGGAUCCAGAGAUCCUUAGCCCUCAGCUUGGAAACCACUUUUUUUCCCCCCUUCCAAAAUCUUGCAGGUUCCUGAGGCACAUUUGAACAUGCUGAUCCCUUGUCCUGGAGUGACCCUCCCUAAGGACCCGGCACGAGCAUUGCCUCCUCUGGGAAGUCCUCCCUGACUCGUCGCCCCACCAUGGCCAGUGAACGUCCCUGCCCCAUCCUCUCUGCACCGUGGCCCGUUCCAUCCGUGCCCACUUCACACUGUCUUGUCAUUGUUUGUUGGCAAACACUGUUGUCUAAUUUGGCCAUUGAGAACAAGAGCUUUGGCAUCUACGGGACCCAGGUUCCUGGCUUGGCUGAGGCGUCUCCUAGCUCUGGAAACUUGGGCAAGUCCCUCCGCUAGUUUUGGGCAUCAGAUUCUUCAUUUGUAAAAUGCAGAUGCUCAUACCGCCUGUCUGCCCAGCAUCCCAUAACUCGUUCUGGUAACAGAGACUGGCUUUUCCCCUCCCUCCUCCCUUCAUCCUUCUUCCUCCCUUCCUCCUUUCCUUCCUCCCUUCCUUCCUUCCUACCUACUUUUGCAUCAGGAAUUCCUUCCAUGCGGUUUGAUAGGCUGACAGUGGGGGGCGGGUGUUCCAGACGUGGCCCAUAAGAGAACUCCAUCCCCUGGUCAUAGUGAUUGGUCUAAAGAUGAGUGUGUAAACCCAAAUGAACCUUUUCUAGACCUGCUUGGAACUCUCUGUAAGAAAAUGGGAAGGGAUUGUCUCUUCACACAGGGGUUGCUAAGCAGGUGGGAUGCAGUCCUAAAGGAGUGGGCAGCCAUCUUAGCCACCACAUAGAGAGAAUCUGUCUGAGAAAUGGAGAGAAAGGUGAAACCUUGAUUAUAUCAUAUGAGCUCCUUGAUCCAGCCAUUCCUGAAGACAGAUGCACAUCUGGGCUUCCAGUUACAAAAGCCAAUAAAUCCUCCUCCCCCCACACACAUACCCCUUUUUUAAGAACUUAAGUCAGCAUGACACAAGUUUAUCCCACUUGCAGCAAAAAGACUCCUGACUAUGAUAGUCGAUUAUAUUGACGGUUCCUGAUGAACUACUCUUUUUACUAUUCAUGCCCUUGUGUUGUCACCUCCUCUUGACUUCCGGUAGGGCUUGCAGUUUGAUGUAAUUAGUGGAAUCGGAUGGAAGUGAUGCUGUGCCAGUUCUGGGCCUAAGCCUGAGGAAGCCUGAAAGCUUCUGUGCUCUCGGGAGCCCUGAGCUGCCAUGUAAGUGCAGGCACCCUGCUGGAGAGACCACGUGGAGAUGCCACAUGAGGAGGGAGAGGCCCAGACACCACGCAGAGAGAUAGCAGCCCAGCUUCCCCGUGUCCUAGCUGAGCCCAGUCCCCGUCUCCCUGCCAGCCGGAUGCAGCCACAGGAGGGAGCACAGACAAAAGCAGAAGAACCUCUCAGUUGAGCCCCGUUCAGAUGACAGAAUUUGGAGAGCUGAUGAAAGGAUUGUUGUCUUAAGCCCCGGUGUUCUGGUGUAGCCUGUUACACAGCCACAGAGAACUGAAGCCCUGACAAACAUGCGGCUUCACGGGGUUGUUGUGGGAACGGGGUAAGAAGCGUGUAAAUUACCUGGCACCUGGCUGGCAUGUGGGAGGUGCUCCUCAAGCAUCAACUAUUAGUUGUCUUCUUGUGGCCGUUGCUACAUGUUUGCUGCCUAAAUUAGAUUAUGUACUUAUUGGGGCAACACGUGUGUCCUACGCAUUGCUGUAUCUCCCGGGAUGCAGCACAGGACCGGGCAUAUGCUAGGCAUUCUGACAACGUUGCUGUCGAUGAACAAAUGAAUGGACAGCAAGGGGAAGUGUUUGCAAAAUGCGAAACCCGGACCCUUCUGCACAGUUUGUCUUAGCCCAUAUUUUUUGAUCUGAACAUGCUUCAGGUGAAAUUCUAUUCAAAGGAUAUGUGGACCACUGAGAUCUCCAGGACAACUGGUCUCCUCGUAGCAACUCAACGAAGCGGGCUGAGGGAGGCUCCCCCACCCUGUGGCUGCGCCAUCUGGAACACGGGCUCUCAUUGGUUGGUGCACCAGGGGAACACAGGGCGUGGAGAAUACCACAUUGGCUCUUAAAUUCUUUCCCAUAGAAGGGACGCGCCUUACUUCCAGUUACUUUUCAUUGGCCAAAGCCAGUCACCCGGCCCCAGCUAACUUCAAGAGGCAGGAAGUGCAGUCCUCCGCUGUGGCCUGGAGGAGAGGAGAAUCAGAAUGCCAGUGAGCAGCAAGGAUGUCUGCUCUUCCAUCUCCGCACCACUCGUCCCAGGGGGCAAGGCCACGUAGUACCCAUGUGGCCACUCGGGACUCACACACGUCUGACAGGGGGCUGUUCUCAAAGAGGGAACAGUUUUAAACCAGGGAGCCACCCCAGGAGAUGCUUAUGAAAUAAGGGCAAGACAGCCGACAGCUGUGCCGCACAGAUUAGCUGUGGUGAUAGAGAAUAACAGGCCUAUUACCCCACGCGUCUCAUGUGACAGAGAGAAAAUCAAGAUCUACUAAUAAAGUGCCUUGCCUAGGCCUUAGAGAUCAAUUAAUUUUUCUUUUAAAAAUUUAAUAUUUAUGAGAUAAAGUCGGUGUGGCAAAAUGGUAACAGUAAUUCUUAGCAGUGGGUAUGUCAUUCAGUGAAAUUCCUUCAACUUUUCUGUACGUUUGAAAUUUUCAUAAUAAAAUGUUGGCAAAUUUAAAACUACUUUUAGAAAAGUUAAUAGGUUUACAUGCUUCCGAAUCGAA